rnacentral:rRNA from 1 species
UGAAGUAAGUAAGGGCGUACGGUGAAUGCCUUGGUGCCAACAGGCGAAGAAGGACGCGGCAAGCUGCGAAAAGCCUCGGGAAGCUGCAAGCAAGCGAUGAUCCGGGGAUAUCCGAAUGGGGUAACCUGAUCGAGGCAAUACUCGAUCGUUCAUACCUGAAUACAUAGGGUAUGAAACGCGAAACCCGCUGAAGUGAAACAUCUCAGUAAGCGGAGGAAAAGAAAGAGAAAUCGAUUCCGUAAGUAGUGGCGAGCGAAAGCGGAUGGAGCCCAAACCGAAGGUAUUCCUUCGGGGUUGUAGGACCACGUCAUAUUCGACCAUACUGGAUAGUAGAACAGCCUGGAAAGGCUGGCCGGAGAAGGUGAAAGCCCUGUAGACGAAAUCCAGAGUGGGAAUUAGUGGUAUCCUGAGUAAUACAUCACACGUGGAACGAUGUAUGAACCCGCGCGGACCACCGCGCAAGGCUAAAUACUAGUUGGCGACCGAUAGUGAACAAGUACCGCGAGGGAAAGGUGAAAAGAACCGCUGUGAGCGGAGUGAAAUAGAACCUGAAACCGUAUGUCUACAAAGUGUCAGAGCAGAGCAAUCUGCGAUGGCGUGCCUUUUGUUUAAUGAGUCUGCGAGUCAGUGUUUGUGGCAAGACUAAGGGCUUCCGGCCCGGAGUCGCAGCGAAAGCAAGUCCGAACAGGGCGCAAUAAGUCGCAGGUACUGGACCCGAAGCGGAGGUGACCUACCCUUGGCCAGGUUGAAGCAUGGGUAAAACCAUGUGGAGGACCGAACAGGUGAACGUUGAAAAGUUCUCUGAUGAGCUGAGGGUAGGAGUGAAAGGCUAAUCAAACCCCGUGAUAGCUGGUUCUCUUCGAAAUGCAUUUAGGUGCAGCGUCACGUGCUGAUGCGCGGGGGUAGAGCACUGACAAGGCUAGGGGGCACACCCGCUUACCAAACCUUAUCAAACUCCGAAUACCGUGCAAUGGAACGUGGCAGUGAGACAGUGGGGGAUAAGCUUCAUUGUCGAGAGGGAAACAACCCAGACCAGCAGCUAAGGUGCCUAAAUAACGCUCAGUGGAAAGGAUGUGGGAUUACACAGACAGUGAGGAUGUUGGCUUAGAAGCAGCCACCAUUUAAAAAAUGCGUAAUAGCUUACUCAUCGAGUGAUCCUGCGCCGAAAAUGAUUGGCGAUCAAGCGUUAUACCGAAGCUCUGGACUUUGCCGCAAGGCAGAGUGGUAGAAGAGCGUUGCAUGCGCGUCGAAGGGCGAUGGCGACUGACCCUGGAGCACAUGCAAGUGAGUAUGCAGACAUGAGUAACGUUAAGCCGGGUGAAAUCCCCGGCCGCCGUAAACCCGAGGUUUCCAGGGCAACGUGUUUCGUCCCUGGGUUAGCCGGGACCUAAGCCGAGGCCGAGAGGCGUAGGCGAUGGACAUCAGGUUAAUAAUCCUGAGCUCGCAACCCUUAAACUGGGGGGACGCAUGAGAAAAGAUGACUAGGUUAUUGAAUUCCGAGUUGAGUCUACGGACUCAGCGCAUCAUUGGAUCGAGUGCCAAGAAAAGCCCCAGCGUAUGCUAAGCGACCCGUACCGCAAACCGACACAGGUGGGUGGGUAGAAUAUACCAAGGCGUAAGAGUGAAACCUGGUUAAGGAACUCGGCAAAUUAGCCCCGUAACUUCGGAAGAAGGGGUGCCUGCAGCGAUGCAGGCCGCAGAGAAAUGGCCCAACCGACUGUUUAUCAAAAACACAGCACUCUGCAAAGACGCAAGUCGAAGUAUAGGGUGUGACACGUGACCAAUGCCGAAAGAUUAAGGCAAGGGGUUAGCCGCAAGGCGAAGCUCUAAACCCAAGUCCCGGUGAAUGUCGGCCGUAACUAUAACGGUCCUAAGGUAGCGAAAUUCCUUGUCGGGUAAGUUCCGACCUGCACGAAUCGUGAAACGAGUUGGGCACUGUCUCAACCAGGCGCUCAGUGAAAUUGUAGUGGCGGUGAAGAUGCCGCCUACCCGCAGAAGGACGGAAAGACCCUAUAGACCUUAACUGUAAGCUGUCAUUGUUUCUUCGGUUUUAAUGCUCAGAGUAAGUGGGAGACGCUGAAGACGCCCUUUAGGGGGCGUCCGAGUCAUCAAUGAGACACCACCCUUUGAAACUGGAGGAUCUAACCCUGAGCCGUGAAUCCGGCCAGAGGACCGUGUCAGCCGGUCAGUUUUACUGGGGCGGUAUCCUCCCAAAGAGUAACGGAGGAGCGCGAAGGUGGGCUCAGCCCGGUUGGCAACCGGGUGUCGAGUGCAUGGGCAUAAGCCCGCCUAACUGUGAGACCAACAAGUCGAGCAGAUGCGAAAGCAGGCCCAAGUGAUCCGGCGGUAGAAAGUGGAAUUGCCGUCGCUCAACGGAUAAAAGGUACCUUAGGGAUAACAGGCUGAUCACGCCCAAGAGUUCAUAUCGACGGCGUGGUUUGGCACCUCGAUGUCGGCUCGUCGCAUCCUGGGGCUGGAGUAGGUCCCAA